GACGAACGCUGGCGGCGUGCUUAACACAUGCAAGUCGAACGGAAAGGCCCUGCUUUUGUGCGGUGCUCGAGUGGCGAACGGGUGCGUAACACGUGAGUAACCUGCCCUUGACUUUGGGAUAACUUCAGGAAACUGGGGCUACUACCGGAUAGGAGCUCCUGCUGCAUGGUGGGGGUUGGAACGUUUCGGCGGUUGCGGAUGGACUCGCGGCUUAUCAGCUUGUUGGUGGGGUAGUGGCUUACCAAGGCUUUGACGGGUAGCCGGCCUGGGAGGGUGAACGGCCACAUUGGGACUGAGAUACGGCCCAGUGUCCUACGGGAGGCAGCGGUGGGGAGUCUGGCACAAUGGGCGGAAGCCUGAGGCAGCAACGCCGCGUGCGGGAUGACGGCCUUCGGGUUGUAAACCGCUUUCGCCUGUGACGAAGCGUGAGUGACGGUAAUGGGUAAAGAAGCACCGGCUAACUACGUG
rnacentral:rRNA from 1 species